GGCCGGGGCUCCAGGGAAGGCUGCUUCCUUCCUGCGCCUCCUGCCAGGCAGCCCUCCCACCUCGGCUCUGUCUCUCUGAUUCUCUCCUGUAAGGACCUUGCAAUGACCUUGAGCCCACCAGAUAACCCAGGGUCCUCUCCCCACCUCAGGAGCCUGUUGCGUCUGUAAAGGCCCUCUUGCCACAUAAGGUGACACAUUCCAGGUUCAGGGACCAGGACAUGGGGCACCCUGGCAUCAGCCUACACAGCCGUGAACACGUUUGCCAAACCAGACACCAAGGGUAAAGAGGUCAAGGACAAGGCUGGGCUGCCACAGCCUGGCUCCUGCUCACCUCCCUCUCCCUCUGCCUUUCCAUCUCCGCUGCCCAUGGUGACACUGGGGGCACACCCUUCCUGCAGCCCCUGAGGCACCACCUGACCCUGCCCACCCAGCUCUCAGCACGCCCUCCCGCCAGCCGCCCUGCUCAGGGCACACCACACACAUCUCCCCUGGGCAGCCCAGGUCUGGGACCCUCUGCCUGAGCCAUGUGCCCUGCCCCAGCACCCUGCUCCUGCCACCACCAGCUCCCCCUCCUCUUCAGUAACUCCCUAACUCCCACAUUUACACAGACCAGCUAUUCCAGAACGUUCCAGAGCGCCCCAGGCUGGCUGCUGCUCCCUGGGCAGGCCUGCAGCCCCCACUCUCCCCCUCAGUCAGAGAUCCUCAGCACGCCUUGCCUGAUGCAGGGCUCCCACAGCUGCCACUCCUCCCGCAUCACAGUCAUCCAGGGGACAGCUGGCCUCCCCGCCCCACUUGCCAUUGGAGAGACUGAGCCACAGGGACUUGGUCACUGGCCCUAGGUUUGGCAGGUUCAUAGGUGGAGUGGGCAGUCUGGCCACAGUGCUCUCUCUCCAGUGACAUCACUCUGAGCAGGACCCGUAGUGUCCCCGUCUCCCUCCUCUUCAGUGGGGGGACCCUCAUUCUUUCCACCUGACACCUGUCCAGAGCUGACUCAGUGUGGGAGCCCCGUGAUGCAUCUGCGACGACAUGAGGGUAAAGAAGAACCUUCCAGACCAGGAUGGAGCCAGAGUCCCCCGGGAGGCUUCUGGAGCUCCCCACACCUGGUCCCCUGGAAUCCUGAAACCCAGACAUUGCUCCUAGAGCAGGCUCACAUCAGAGGGGCCUCCUGAGCCCCAAGGCGCUGGGGCCCACUGCUCACAGCGACUCCUGAGGCUGAGAGGAGACCUCGGCCCAUGGGGAACCCCAGAGAUCCCAGAGGCCUGCGGACGUACCUCGCCCCUCCGCAUAGGCCCCAGCGCUCUGCCUGGCCAGCCUAGGUAGCACACGCUCUCCCAACACGUGGCCUGGCCACAGACCACCUCCACGGCUGGAGGACUUGCACAGCUGAGGUGGGGUGCAGGCCAACCCCACCCCACAGCAGACCUGCUCACUGGGGGCCUCACUGGAGGGUGGGAGUCACCCCUGGGAAAGCCAGGGAAAAUAGGGUACUCCCUCGCCCAGAGGCAGGAGACAAAUCCACGUGAUCAGCCCCACAGGGCGGGGGUUGGUGGUGGGAAGCAGCAGUAUAGCCUCCUGUGGCCAGUGGGGAGGGCCCGGUGUGGCCCAGCUUAAAAGGCCUGUCCCUGCCCAAGCCACCCAGCAAAGCCAGGACCCCACAGCUACUGUCAGGAUCCUGGCCCUGUGCAGGGGGUGGCCUGAGAUGUGCUUCCCCAAGGCCUCCGGGUUACUGUCCAGGUCUCCAGGGGAUCACGUGGGGAGCAGCCCAGGGCCCUAGAGUGACCUGUUCAUUGCUGUCCGUGGACUUGGAUUUUUCAGAGGCCCACAGACCUCAGUCUUCCCUGGGUUCUGAGUGCUGAGUGGGGCAUCCAGGAGCAUCUGAGACCAGCCACCACCCAGCCCAUGACCGUCCCCUCGGAGAGCAGGAAGGAUUCUGAAACUUCUCACCCAAACCAGGACUUGACCAAUAAUUAAGCUGGGACCAGAGGCACAAAAGAGACUCCUGCUGACCUUCCAGAUAUGACAGAGGAGUUAAUGUGAAAUCUAGCUACUCCCGGGCCGGCGCCACGGGGAAGAGCCUUUUACACAAAUAUCUGUCACGUUUGCCGCACACACGUGUGACUCAAGGCAUGCCACUGUGAAUGUGGCUGGCAUGUUCUGCUCCGUGUUGUCCCCAGCGGCCAACACCUUCCCUAAAUGGAUUUAGGAGGCCAGUUCGCACCUACCUUGCCUGCCCCACCCCAGGGAGGGGCCGGGGCUGGGGGAGCACAACAGGGUGCUGCCAGCAAGCCCGCAUCCCCCCACUGUCAAUUAUUUCUCACAACUUAGGAAGAGCAGGGAAGUCCUGGGUCACGCGGCAUCGUCACCCACAAGCCAUUUCUUUUGCAGCUAGCCGGGCUCCUGCAGAAGCGUGUGUGAGUCCUGUGGAGAGUAGAGCCGUCUGGGUGAGAGACACUGGGGACAGCCGGAGCCAGCAAAGGAGCUCUGCCUGCACCCACCGCACAGCUGGGCGGGCUCACGCCGGCCGUCCCCGCAGGCCGGUCACCCCCCCCCUUGGUUAAGGCACUUUGUUUCACAACCCCUCUGACAGGCCCCAAUUUCCUCAUUUCCCUGUUGGAACGCAUCGCAUCGUGUCUUGUUAGGAUCCUGCCUUUCCUUCCCUGCACGAGGUCUCCGCACAGACUCUUAGCGAACAUUAGUUUUUAAUGGCUGUAAUAUUCUUUCGAGUGGAUAAACCACAGGUUACUUAAACAUUCCCCAUGUUCAGGCACUUGGGUUUCUUCUAAUUAUUUUGCUACAAAUAUAUAUUUUUGUGUUUCGCAUUACUUCCUCGGGACAGCAGCCAAGCAAUUAACUUGCCCGUCUUGGGGGGGCCUUUCUAGAAGUGUGGUCACGUGGCCGGCUGCCUGCUCCCGGGAGUCCCUGCCUGCCCCGACACAGCCCCCCAGGCUCAGCCCCCAAGCAUGCAGCUUCCAGCCCAAAAGCACACUGUGGACAUCGGCACAUUUCAGUGUCUCCCCAUGUUAAUAAGAGGAGAAUUUUGUCGUAAUGUGCAUUUCCGUUAUUACUAGGGAGGGAGCACGUUCCUCCACAGUCCCUUCCUGGCUGCGUGUGGAUCGCGCAGCCGUGGGUUUUGGUCAGUGUCUAGUUGAGGCCGUGCGUUACCGAGGACCUUUGUGAACUCGUCCCGCACUAACGAUGCCCGCCCUUAGCGUGCCAUGGGCAGUUCUCCCCACACGACAGCGGCUCUCCUGGGCACACAAAAAUAUAUAUUUGUAGCAAAAUAAUUAGAAGAAACCUUUCUUGCACCUGCCAUAUGCAAAAUUUUCCUGUCUCCUGUGAACAGCUGCCAUUCCAUCUAUUCUUCUGGUUUUAAAUGCACCCCCCUGCCAUGUCUUGCUCUUUGGCUCUGGAUUCCCGGCUUCUGGUGGGUGUUUUACCAUCAUCCGGACGCUGUCGACCCAGGGUUCACAGCCAGGAGCAGCGCCCAUGGCCUGCUUCAGCUCAUGGUGCAAGAGGGGGUUGGAGGGGCACCUCCCGCCUGCAGACCUGGAGGUUGGAGAGCAGCGCUCCUGGGUGGGGCCCGGGGCCGGAAAGUCCCCACACGGUCCCUCCUGGAGGGCUUUCUUCUCCCACGUCCCUGUAUUGGUUCUCAAUCAGGGACAACCCCCCCCCCCCAGGGACGUUUGGCCAUCUCUGGUUGUCACAACAGGAGCAAGGCAGGGGCACCCAGUGGGUGCAGGGGUGGAUGCCACUUGAGAUCCUACAGGGCACAGAACGCAGCACAGCCCCUGCCCCAGGACACAGAAUCGCCCAGCUCCUAAUGUCACUGUCUGGAGGUUAAGACGUCCUGCUUUAGGCUAGAUGGCAUCUUCCCGGGAGAGGCCACUACCGCUAUGCUGGACAAGGGCCCAGUGUCGGCCGGUCAGUCGGUGUGGCGGUCCUGCUGUGCGGUUCCGCCCUCCCUCCUGGUUGGCACUAGGCAGCAGCACACACACAGUCACAAGAAAAAGACCACCUGCCCGCUUCCCUUGCAGCUGGAUGCUGCUGUGCCCGGCACUGAGCUGUGAGCAGUGACAGGGGCAGCUUCAGGGGCAGGAUCAGCAGUCUGUUGCCACUCCUGCCUCCCUUCUCCUGGGCCCUAGGAUGUGGUGUUGGAGCUGCAGCCCCCAUUUUGUGCCAUGAUGUGGCUUUGGAACUGCAGGCUCCGUGGCUCAGUGCACCCACAGGACUGAAGCAGCCUGGUCCCUGGGAGCUCCUGGUCCCUGUGGCACAGCCCACUCCGGUCCUGGAUUGCCCACCCCCAUGCCCAUGGAAAGGGAAGACAGGUCCUCUCUGGGCCAUUGCUGUUCUGAGUCUCUGUGACUUGCCACUGAGCUUCAGCGUUGCAAAUGUGGAUUAGAAACCUUUGUGGAGGUUUCUGAUAAAUUCCAACAGGAAGCUGAGAGGAUUAAGCAGAAUAAAAUGUGCAGAUUUCUUAACUGAUCACGGAGCACACGGCAGGACUUAUAGCCAACUUGCUGAGCUGCGGCGAGCCCUGCCACAUGGCAGGCACCGGGCCUCACAGCUUACCCAGUUCCUAAUCCCCAAGGGACCCCCAGCAGAGUUGUCCCUGGUCCCUGUUAGGAAAGAGGCAGCUGAAGCACAGAGACCAUCCACCACUUGCCACCGUCACAGCUUGCGAGCAGGGAAGAGCCGGCCCCUGCAUUGUGUCUACACCUCAACAGGCACUGAAGCCCUAGACUGUGGAGGCCUUAGGGUCCAGCUACCAUAGAUCAAGCUG
rnacentral:lncRNA from 1 species